rnacentral:rRNA from 1 species
UACGGGGGGAGCAAGCGUUGUUCGGAUUUACUGGGCGUAAAGGGCGCGUAGGCGGCGCAACAAGUCACUUGUGAAAUCUCCGGGCUUAACCCGGAGCGGUCAAGUGAUACUGUCGUGCUAGAGUGCGGAAGGGGCUACUGGAAUUCUCGGUGUAGCGGUGAAAUGCGUAGAUAUCGAGAGGAACACCUGCGGCGAAGGCGGCUACCUGGACAGAAACUGACGCUGAGGCACGAAAGCUAGGGGAGCAAACAGG